rnacentral:rRNA from 1 species
CCUACGGGAGGCAGCAGUGAGGAAUAUUGGUCAAUGGGCGGAAGCCUGAACCAGCCAAGUCGCGUGAGGGAAUAAGGUCCUACGGGUCGUAAACCUCUUUUGCCGGGGAGCAAGGGCCGGGACGAGUCCCGGUCCGGAGAGUACCCGGAGAAAAAGCAUCGGCUAACUCCGUGCCAGCAGCCGCGGUAAUACGGAGGAUGCGAGCGUUAUCCGGAUUUAUUGGGUUUUAAGGGUGCGUAGGCGGGCUUUUAAGUCAGCGGUAAAAUGUCGGGGCUCAACCCCGUCCGGCCGUUGAAACUGGGGGCCUUGAGUGGGCGAGAAGAAGGCGGAAUGCGUGGUGUAGCGGUGAAAUGCAUAGAUAUCACGCAGAACCCCGAUUGCGAAGGCAGCCUUCCGGCGCCCUACUGACGCUGAGGCACGAAAGUGCGGGGAUCGAACAGGAUUAGAUACCCGAGUAGUC